GACGAACGCUGGCGGCGUGCCUAAUACAUGCAAGUCGAACGCUGAAGGAGGAGCUUGCUUCUCUGGAUGAGUUGCGAACGGGUGAGUAACGCGUAGGUAACCUGCCUGGUAGCGGGGGAUAACUAUUGGAAACGAUAGCUAAUACCGCAUAAGAGUAGAUGUUGCAUGACAUUUGCUUAAAAGGUGCAAUUGCAUCACUACCAGAUGGACCUGCGUUGUAUUAGCUAGUUGGUGGGGUAACGGCUCACCAAGGCGACGAUACAUAGCCGACCUGAGAGGGUGAUCGGCCACACUGGGACUGAGACACGGCCCAGACGCCUACGGGAGGCAGCAGUAGGGAAUCUUCGGCAAUGGACGGAAGUCUGACCGAGCAACGCCGCGUGAGUGAAGAAGGUUUUCGGAUCGUAAAGCUCUGUUGUAAGAGAAGAACGAGUGUGAGAGUGGAAAGUUCACACUGUGACGGUAGCUUACCAGAAAGGGACGGCUAACUACGUG
rnacentral:rRNA from 1 species